rnacentral:rRNA from 1 species
GAUGAACGCUAGCGGCAGGGCUUAACACAUGCAAGUCGAGGGGUAUAGUUCUUCGGAACUAGAGACCGGCGCACGGGUGCGUAAACGCGUAAUGCGAAUCUACCCUUUUGCAGAGGGAUAGCCCAGAGAAAUUUGGAUUAAUACCUCAUGGUAAUGUGAGAAUGGCAUCAUUUUCACAUUAAAGUCACAACGGCAAAAGAUGAGCAUGCGUCCCAUUAGCUAGUUGGUAAGGUAACGGCUUACCAAGGCAACGAUGGGUAGGGGUCCUGAGAGGGAGAUCCCCCCA